rnacentral:lncRNA from 1 species
AUUUUUUUUUUUAACUUUAGAAAUAAAAACAAUUAGAAAUGUAAAGCAAUAAAGUUUUGACCUUAAAAUCUUUGAGUAUCCAAUAAUAAAAAAAAAUCCUUAGCCAGGAAUGUUAGGGUUUAGGUUUUAGGUUUUAGGGUUAGGGUUUAGAUUUUAGGAUUUGGGCCUGGAAGUGGUCGGCGAAUCGGAGCUAGACUUGAUCUAGCCUAUUAAUAGAAAGUGUACUUAGUAAAACGUGUCGGACCAUUUGGUUAACACCGGUUCUCCUUCCAUCUCCUAUAACACAACAACCUCUCGACCAAUGAUCUAGUUUAGCGCACAACCUUUUUUUUCUCUGUGAACCCCCACAUCCACAACUAUUGACAAUUUUUUAAAUA